rnacentral:tRNA from 1 species
UAAAGAUUGGUGGCUCCCAACCACCCCUAGUGA